rnacentral:other from 1 species
UUCUCUGGGAUAGAGGCCAUAGAUAGGAUAUCUAUUAGCCAGGAUGGCAAUAUUCAAGGAUGGGAUAGGGAAUUACUUCAAAACGAAGUCAGGAACAACUUCUAAUGAAGCUAAGGACACCUCCUAAUGGAGAGAGAGUCAGUGUUGGAUAUGCUGAUGGGUCAAGGAUUACCGAAGAGUGACUUCUAGGAUGAAGUUAAGAUUUACCAGGGGAUUAAAGCAUAUCAAGGAUUGAUAGCAGGGAGCACUAUAGUAGCUGGAUUGCUAUAAGUAAUAUCUAAGGGCGUGACAAUAAUUAUUGUCGCGCCCAUUCUUUUU